rnacentral:rRNA from 1 species
CUGGCGGCGUGCCUAUACAUGCAAGUCGAGCGAACUGAUUAGAAGCUUGCUUCUAUGACGUUAGCGGCGGACGGGUGAGUAACACGUGGGCAACCUGCCUGUAAGACUGGGAUAACUCCGGGAAACCGGAGCUAAUACCGGAUAACAUUUUCUCUUGCAUAAGAGAAAAUUGAAAGAUGGUUUCGGCUAUCACUUACAGAUGGGCCCGCGGUGCAUUAGCUAGUUGGUGAGGUAACGGCUCACCAAGGCAACGAUGCAUAGCCGACCUGAGAGGGUGAUCGGCCACACUGGGACUGAGACACGGCCCAGACUCCUACGGGAGGCAGCAGUAGGGAAUCUUCCGCAAUGGACGAAAGUCUGACGGAGCAACGCCGCGUGAGUGAUGAAGGCUUUCGGGUCGUAAAACUCUGUUUGUUAUGUAAGAACAAGUACAAGAGUAACUGCUUGGUACCUUUGACGGUACCUUAACCAGAAAGGCACGGCUAACUACGUGCCCAGCAGCCGCGGUAAUACGUACGUGGCAAGCGUUAUCCGGAAAUAUUGGGCCGUAAAGCGCGCGCAGGCGUUUCCUAAAAUCUGAUGUGAAAAGCCCAACGGCUCACCAUGGAGGGGUCAUUGGAAAACUGGGGAAAAUUGAGUGCA